rnacentral:rRNA from 1 species
CCUGCCCUUUUGAACGGGAUAACCCAGCGAAAGUUGGACUAAUACCGUAUACUGCAUAUUAAUCGCAUGGUUUAUAUGUCAAAGGCUGCUCUUCGGAGCAUCCGCAAAAGGAUGGGCCUGCGUUCCAUUAGUUAGUUGGUGAGGUAACGGCUCACCAAGGCAGCGAUGGAUAGCUGGUUUGAGAGAGUGAUCAGCCACACUGGGACUGAGAUACGGCCCAG